rnacentral:rRNA from 1 species
GUCGAGAAUCUUUCACAAUGGGGGCAACCCUGAUGGAGCGACGCCGCGUGGAGGAUAAGGUCUUCGGAUUGUAAACUCCUGUCAUGCGUGAACAAGGUUGCUUGGUUAAUACCUGGGCAAAUUGAUGGUAACGCAAGAGGAAGAGACGGCUAACUCUGUGCCAGCAGCCGCGGUAAUACAGAGGUCUCAAGCGUUGUUCGGAAUCACUGGGCGUAAAGGGUGCGUAGGUGGCGUGGUAAGUCAGAUGUGAAAGCCCGGGGCUCAACCUCGGAACUGCAUCCGAUACUGCCAUGCUAGAGUACUGGAGAGGUGACUAGAAUUCUAGGUGUAGCAGUGAAAUGCGUAGAUAUCGAGAGGAAUACCAAAGGCGUAGGCAGGUCACUGGACAGUUACUGACACUGAGGCACGAAGGCCAGGGGAGCGAACGGGAUUAGAUACCCGUGUAGUCC